CUGCAGUUUCAAUUGCUGUGGGACUCAGGUUUUCUCUCAGCACUGCAUAUACACCUGGAGACAUGGGAAGAAGGUCUGAUGGAGACUGUGGCUCAGUUGAAUCACUUCGGCUUAAAGAGAUAAGAAGGGGAUGAAGUAGAGUGGCAGCAAGUCACCCGCUUCACAGAAGUGAAAUCAGAACCAUAGAAGGAAGGAGGAAACCAAAACCCUCCAAGUGGCUAUGAGCGGUCCCCAUGGCCCUGGUGAACUCUGGUUCCAGCUACUCUACUCACUCCUAACUACUCUGCUAGAGUUAGACAGCCCUGGCCAUUCCUUUAAAUGGACCGUUGACACACCACUUUUUUCCAAAGGCUUUGACCGCCACAUACCUCUUGGAUCUUUCAAUGAUCAAAGUAAACAUAGAAAGAAA